GGGAAGAGACAAAGGAAAAUGGUGUAGCAACGAAACGGCUCGUGACGUGUGAAAGAUUAAUCAAGAACGUGAACAUCUCAGUUUGUUUUGUAGUACAUCACACACAGUGCAGAGUGAUCAUCAUCAUUUCAUUUGGUUUUGAAGAAAUGACAAUGGGCGAGACGCCCCCACCUGCAUCUGUGCCUCCAACUGGGUUGCUUAUGAAGCGGUGCAAGUUCAUUUGGCGCCUUCUUUUGCUCUCUAAUCUCGCGUUUGGAGCUUAUCUAUUUGCAAGUGCAAAACAGUGUUGUUAAAUUGCCGUUAUGGCGGCGCCAUGGCGGUAUGGCAUAACAGGUUUUUCAAAAAAUGCCACCAAAUAGCGGUGGCGUUGCGGGUUUCAUAUGACAGCCGCCAUAGCCUUAACGGUCGUGGCAGAACGGCAGAAAUGGUGGAAGACUGCUUUUUUUUUUUUUUUGAAAUUUUCGCAAUGGGUCGUGUUGGGCUGACCCGACCCAACCCUAACCCGAUUUUUGCAUGCAAAAGGGGAUGAGCAGCACGAGCAGGAACAGCAACACGCGAACUCCAGCGGCACCACGCGAACGCUACGCAGCACCCCGCACCAGCACCUGCACCACGACGGCAACGACGGCGAACUCCACCGCGACGACAACCCCAGCACCACGCACACGAUGAACAGAGGGCGAUGGCGGUGGCAACGGCUACAAUCUGCGACGGCAACCCCAGCACCACGCACACGAUGCAAAAGGGGAUUUUUGUUCUUUUUUUGUUGCUGUUCUUUUUUUUUUGUUCUUUUUUUUUUUCUGUUUGACACCCUUUUUUUAUUUUUGGUUCUGUUUUUUUUUUGUUCUGUUCAGUCCUCUUCUAAAUGGUUUUUUUUUCUGUUUUAUCAUGGUUAAUUUUGAGGCGUCUGGUGGAGAAGAGGGAGAGGGAGAUGCUCCACUACCUUAUGAUAACAACGAAGAUGAUUAUGCUGGGAUUGGAGAAGAUGAUUAGAGCCUCAACCUUUACUUUGCACUUUGCAUUAUGCUUUUAUCCUUAAGUUAUUUUGAACUCUUGAAUGAGUUUAUUUGGUGUUGGUACUUGGUUAUUGUGUGAACUCAUGAAACUUUUAGUUUAUUUGAAUGCAAUCCAUUGUUUUUUUAAUUUUUUAUUUA